AUCGAAGGUCGUCUGCGCCUGGGCAGCAUCUCCACGACGUGGGACGGAUGUUGGCCGCCGCCACCGCUGGCCGCCGCGCCAUCGCGCCGCAUCAGGAGAAGCGGCGUUGGAGCCGAAGGCCACCGCCGUGCCAAGGUGUGGCGGAGAGAACUGCGCUCCGCAUGCGCGUUGGCCGUCUCUGUUGCCGGGAUGCGUGGCGGGCCGUGGUGCUCCUCCGGAGGGAGGAGCGUUUGCUGCCGGGAUGUGGUCGUCGCCGCUGUAGACGGCCGUGCCGAUGGAGGCCGCGGGUGCGGCCUCAACCAUCCGCAUCCAGGGGGAAAAGGGAGGAGAGUGGACGAGCGGCCGCCGCUUAGACCUUCCUCCGUCCGGAAUCGAGUCCGCUGAUCCGCGGCCGAUCUCAUUUAAGAGAGUGUGUUCGAGGCUUCCAAUUGUUGAAUCGAUGGAGGCUGGCGUUGCGUUCUUCCAUCAGUUCUUCUUUCUUUGUAGUUCACGAUUGAUCAAUUCUUCGUGAGAUUCGUGUGAGCGCAUAUACAUACAGGAGAAAAGCAAUUCAUUGUUAGAUUAUUAAUUGAUGAUUGCAAGAAGACAAAAUCAAUCAAUCAAUCUCCUGAUUAGUUUCUUUCCUUUUUGUACGAGGAACAUCUCGUCUUCGCCGUGAAUCGCGUGGUGGCCGAAACUCUAGUAGCCAACUUCUCCAGACUUCUCCAGUGAUCGUCUGCGGCAAUUGCAGAUCGCUGGAGUGGCCUCCUCUGGCCAUAGAGAGGCCUUGCCGUUUGCUGCUGCUGUCGUCGGCAGUCAUGUGGCGGAUUGAAGCGCCGGAGGGCGCCGCUUCGACGCGCCUACAGAGGAGGGCGUCGUCAACCAUGGGGUGCCUCAGCCGCCUGCAUCGCGCGCUGGUGCUGCGCCGCUGGAGCGCUGUCGAGGCCGAGGGUCCUUGUGUCCUUGGGGCCGGAGGGAGUCGCCGCCACAGCCGUGUAUCAGGCCGAUGGUCAGGGACGGUAGUGCCGUCGAGUGCUUGGCCUAAUUGCUCUCUGGAAGAGGCGUGCGUGAUCUCUACUCCUAAUGGAGCAGUGGGUAGUCUCGCUUCCAGGUUUUUUUUCGUCCCACCUUCCAUGGCUUUUUUGGUACCUCGUCCCACCUCAUAUUGAGCUGCCACGAACCGCAAAAACCGCGUACCGAAGCCCCCACCCGCCCUCACGCAUUCCAGGGCCUAACCUCCGAUCGCACCCAAGACAAUUCAGCGAAAAAAACCUACGAAAAUUAACCAGCGAAAAAAAAACCUAAUGGAGGAGUUGGCAGUCUGGUACGGUUUAUUUUGAACAUUUUCCUAAUGACAAAAGAUCACGGAUCUAACUUUCCUACCUUAGCCAAAUCAACGAAUCUCUUUCAUUAAUGCAAUUUGCUUUAGGAAAUAAAUAAUAGAUUCUUUUCCACCUUAGCGAAAUUAACGGAUCUCUCCCAUUAAUGCAAUUUGCUUUAGCAAACAAAUAAUAGAUUAUUUCCUACCUUAGCCAAAUCAACAAAUCUCUCUCAUUAAUGCAAUUUUUUUUAGAAAACAAAUAAUAGAUUCUUUCCUACCUUAGCCAAAUCAACGCAUCUCUCCCAUUAAUGCAAUUUGCUUUAGCAAACAGAUAAUAGGUUCUUUCCUACCUUAGCCAAAUCAACGGAUCUCUUUCGUUAAUGAAUUUGCUUUAGGAAACAAAUAAUAUAUUUUUAGGAAACAAAUAAUCUCUAAUCUCAUCUCUAAUUCUCCAAUAAUAAUAAUUAAUAUAAUAUAAUAAUAAUAAUACCUAAAAGAAACGCAGCGUUCCGUUUCCCGUCUUACGUCGUCGAACCCUUCGUCGAGCCUCCCUCCCGUGCGCUGUUGGUUUUCCCUGCGUACGUUCCACCCCAAACGUGAUUCGUUCUUCUUAAUUACGUGGUCCCACCCCCAUGCGAUCCGGCCAAAGAACCAGCAAAACCGUCAUACCCAUGCACGCAAGGAACGAAAAAUCCAUGCAAGUUGUGUCUCCUCCUCCCUCUUCAAACCCUAGCCGCCCCUUCCCAGUUGACGCCGCUAGCGAGUAGCGCGUAGCACAGGCACCCGUGCGGCCCUUCUGUGGUCCCCCUUGACCUCGCAAUGAAACAGCUCGUCAGCAUCGACGACGAGCCGAUGCGUCUGCUGUUGAUUCCUGUGGAUGGGUCAAGCAGGACAGAGGGCGGUGGAUCCGGGACAUAGCCAUGAAGUCUGCUUCGAUGCGCUCCCAUUACUGUCUCAAGUGCAUGGGUCGAUCCUGGACGGUGGGUGAUGGAUCAAGGACGUACAUAGCAGCUUUCACCUACGCAAACGGCUGACUACUCAACCUCCUCUCGGCGGUGGCAGCGGCCAGGUCUGGUUAGCUACCAUUUAUCUUUAAUACAUGCCAUGAAAGGCGAUCAAGAGGAGCAAUCAUAAGCAGCGAGGUGUUCCAGGGCUACGAGCGCCAGUACUGCGACUCUGCGUCUACGAGGUCUUCGCCAAGAUCGCUACCCUCUCUUCCCGUGCCUAUUUCUAUUCGUUGUUGUUGGUUUUGUCUUACAUGGUGAGAUCUAAGCAGACAAUAUGAAGCAGAGGCUCUUUAAGAUCCAGUCCAACGUGCAGGAUACUGAAUCGCUGGUGGAGGCUUCAUUUUGGAUGUAGGUGAAUGUGUGAUUUCUGGAAGCUCUGUAUAUUAACUUCAUGAUCUACUCUUGAUUUUCUUCUUGGGGACUAGAUUUGAAGAUUUGCCAGCUACACCAUCUAAAAAUCAGGCAGCUGAUCCGGGUACAUUGCUACUCGGAGACGUUGGUGCAUUCACACUUCUCAUGGAUCUUUGUAUUAGCCUGAUAGUGUUGGGAUCUCGAAAUUUUGCUGUAGGUGAAGAAGGGAUUCCUAUCUCGAAAUUCUGUUGUAGGUGAAGCGUCUCCUGUAGGCCAUGGAGAUGACCAGGGAUGCAUUGGGAGGCGGGCGACGUAA